rnacentral:tRNA from 1 species
UGUUCCAUAGUAUAAUGGUUAUUACACCUGAUUUUGGCUCAAGUAAUGUAGGUUCAAUUCCUGCUGGAACAACUA